GACAAACGCUGGCGGGGUGCAUGAGACAUGCAAGUCGAACGGGGUUGAUCGGGCUUGCUCGAUCAACCUAGUGGCGGACGGCUGAGUAACGCGUAGGUGACCUACCCAGAAGUGGGGAAUAACUGCCCGAAAGGGUGGCUAAUACCGCAUGUGGUCGGCGAAUCAGAUCGCCGACUAAAGCCGAAAGGCGCUUCUGGAGGGGCCUGCGUCCGAUUAGCUAGUUGGCGAGGUAAUGGCUCACCAAGGCGACGAUCGGUAGCUGGUCUGAGAGGAUGAUCAGCCAGACUGGGACUGAGAACGGCCCAGACUCCUACGGGAGGCAGCAGUCGGGAAUUUUGCCCAAUGGACGAAAGUCUGAGGCAGCAACUCCGCGUGAGGGAUGAAGGCCUUCGGGUCGUAAACCUCUUUUCCCAGGGAAGAUCCAAGACGGUACCUGGGGAAUAAGCCACGGCUAACUACGUGC
rnacentral:rRNA from 1 species